AGAGUUUGAUCCUGGCUCAGGAUGAACGCUGGCGGCGUGCCUAAUACAUGCAAGUCGAGCGAACGGACGAGAAGCUUGCUUCUCUGAUGUUAGCGGCGGACGGGUGAGUAACACGUGGAUAACCUACCUAUAAGACUGGGAUAACUUCGGGAAACCGGAGCUAAUACCGGAUAAUAUUUUGAACCGCAUGGUUCAAAAGUGAAAGACGGUCUUGCUGUCACUUAUAGAUGGAUCCGCGCUGCAUUAGCUAGUUGGUAAGGUAACGGCUUACCAAGGCAACGAUGCAUAGCCGACCUGAGAGGGUGAUCGGCCACACUGGAACUGAGACACGGUCCAGACUCCUACGGGAGGCAGCAGUAGGGAAUCUUCCGCAAUGGGCGAAAGCCUGACGGAGCAACGCCGCGUGAGUGAUGAAGGUCUUCGGAUCGUAAAACUCUGUUAUUAGGGAAGAACAUAUGUGUAAGUAACUGUGCACAUCUUGACGGUACCUAAUCAGAAAGCCACGGCUAACUACGUGCCAGCAGCCGCGGUAAUACGUAGGUGGCAAGCGUUAUCCGGAAUUAUUGGGCGUAAAGCGCGCGUAGGCGGUUUUUUAAGUCUGAUGUGAAAGCCCACGGCUCAACCGUGGAGGGUCAUUGGAAACUGGAAAACUUGAGUGCAGAAGAGGAAAGUGGAAUUCCAUGUGUAGCGGUGAAAUGCGCAGAGAUAUGGAGGAACACCAGUGGCGAAGGCGACUUUCUGGUCUGUAACUGACGCUGAUGUGCGAAAGCGUGGGGAUCAAACAGGAUUAGAUACCCUGGUAGUCCACGCCGUAAACGAUGAGUGCUAAGUGUUAGGGGGUUUCCGCCCCUUAGUGCUGCAGCUAACGCAUUAAGCACUCCGCCUGGGGAGUACGACCGCAAGGUUGAAACUCAAAGGAAUUGACGGGGACCCGCACAAGCGGUGGAGCAUGUGGUUUAAUUCGAAGCAACGCGAAGAACCUUACCAAAUCUUGACAUCCUUUGACAACUCUAGAGAUAGAGCCUUCCUCUUCGGGGGACAAAG
rnacentral:rRNA from 1 species